UUCUAUACAAGUGUACAGGCGUUAUUUAUCUAUUCCUUUUACCUCUCCAUCUUCAGCGAACUUAAAAUCCACCCAAGUUCUCUGCAAGCUUUCUUAGAAUGUUUCCCGUUUUGGUUCAGGUAGUAUCCAAGAAAGAGCCGUAAAGCAAGUAAGAACCGAAGUGGAGGAGAGUAUUUGGUUUACAAGCCACGAGGGAUUCAAGUUUACCCAUUAAUAAAUCCAAAUUGUAACCUAGAUCACGUAGGCAACGUUAUUUAAAUUUAGAAAUAAAUAAAUGAAUGAAGUUCAAUAAUUAUCACAAAACAGAACUUUGCUCAACUAUGACAUACCGCAUUUAAAAUAAAUAUGUUUUGUCACAACAGCAAGUACGAUUUUUGUAUCAACCUAAGGACAUACCAACUGGCCUAAGUAAAAGUAAAUUUUCUCAGUUUGGUUUUUAAUUAACAUAGAAUCAGACAUCCCAGUCUGCAAAUGGCGGCCAUACAAAACUAUACGAGUCUAUACACCAUCAACGAACUUGGAAGAUUCUUUAGUAUCAUCAACUAUUAUCGGAGAUGCCUACCCCGUUCGUCACAUAUCCAGGCACCUAAAGUGUUGCAGGUGCAGUUCUGGUGGCUCAUCCAUAUCCUAUCGAGAACCGAUCGGAAAUUACCUUCAAUUUAUCAUCAGCAAUCACCAUGCCAGUGUCCGUCAGUCUACAGUAAAUCUAGAAAGCAUGGGCCGCUGAUUCUAAGCUUUUAAACCUGCUGGAAGAAACCACUUCGCUUGAGUGGUAGAUCAACGGUGCAGAAUCUGUUCAAGGAGCUGUCGCAGUGAACACAUCCAUACGACUGCUUAUAACCCACAAUCAAAUGAAUGAUCCGAAGGAAGGCAAAUAUCGUUUAAGGCUGCGAUGCUGUCAAUCAAAACUCCUGGUGCUUUGGGAAUGCAUGGAUCUUAAGGAGGAUCUUGAAUCAUUGGCUUUGGAGAUGAUAUACGGAAUAACGAUACGCUUGCCAAACGAAUUUUUGCAAAGACAUCGAUACAAACUUGGAUCCUGUCGUAUUCCUAGGGGAUUUUCGAAAAAUACGUCCGAUUUAAACGGCGCACUCAGCAAGCAAAAAAUGUUUUAUCUAAAGGGAAUACAGAAUUGAUCCCACUCCAUAGGACUCACCAUA